rnacentral:misc_RNA from 1 species
UCAAACUUGGUCAUUUAGAGGAAGUAAAAGUCGUAACAAGGUUUCCGUAGGUGAACCUGCGGAAGGAUCAUUAACGAGCCAGCGGUGGCGCGCCGGCCGUCCCCUAUAUCCGGGGGGCGGGUCCCCGGCUGCGUCCCGCUAACGGCCCCCACACUUGUCUACAUACCGCGUUGCCUCGGCGGGCCCGCCGCUAGUCGGCCGCCGGGGGGAUACUUCCCCCUGGCCAGCGCCCGCCGGAGGACCACAGCAAAAAAAACCUGUCACAGCGAGUUGCAGUCUGAGCUACGGCGAAGAAUAGAAUCAAAACUUUCAACAAUGGAUCUCUUGGUUCCGGCAUCGAUGAAGAACGCAGC